CAACCCUCAAGCCCUGCUUGGUGUUGGGGACCGGCACGCCCUCAUCAGCGCGCGCCGCCCCCCAAAUACAGUGGCGGUCUCGCCGCAGCCUCCCCUGCGUAGUAGCCAACAACCUCGCAGGCGGAGCGCGGCGCGGCCACGCCGUAAAACCCCCUAAAUUCUCAAA
rnacentral:misc_RNA from 1 species